ensembl:lncRNA
CACUUUUAUACGGAAAUUUUACAGUUCAGUCUGAUAUGAUUCACUACACUACACUUCUAGGUGCUGCUUGACUGUGGAAACCCAUGACACUUUGACACGCUUGAGUUCAAGCCAAAGGUUCUGUUAAUACAUGCUCAAUCAUCCAGGUGAGUAAAUCACAAAAGGUUGAUUCUGUUCAUCUGGAUGUAGCGUUUUUAGCGGGAGGAACGUUUCGCAGGAGGAACGUUUCGUCACUCAUCCAGGUGACUUCUUCAGUCUCAGCUGACUGCAGGUUUGCUCAACCUUAUAAACUGUACAUUUGCACAAUGGCUGAUGUAUCCUGCGUCCUCGUUUUCCCCAGAUUUAAUGUCUGAUGUUUUGCUAAAGUUUAAUAUUUUCUUAAAGGCCAGUGUUUUGUUUUUUUUUUUACCGACGCAUUCAGCAUUUGUAGCAGUUAAGGUGGCCACUAGAGGGCUUUGUCACUUUAACACGAGCACCUUUUGUCUUGACUUGACGGACAUGGCCUGGCCUUUAGAGAACCCUGGUUUCACACUCUUCCAGUGCUCAUGAACUCAGUGAACUCAGAAGUCGAAGCCCGGCCAUUCAGCAUCAUUAUUUGAUGUGAAAAGCCCACACGCAGCAGGUAAAACACAUAGCUAUAUUUUCUUUUACACUCCUCUAGCUCCAAUUCUGCCUAUAAGGACUCAAUUAUCCUCCGCACAUGGCUGGGUGCCCCCACCGGCACUGCCACUCCGUAUGUCCCGUUUCAGAGGCCACGAGAGCUAAAAGAGGCUCUCAGUACCACGCGAAGCAGGCAGAUUUUCCACUGGUUUAAUGAGAAUCACAGAGAGGAAAUGUGCAGGGUAUUUAUAGAAAAACGAGAGGAAUGCAAGCCCCCCUAAUUGUGCUUAGUCUGCUGCAGAACCUGUUCACCAUGAUUUCCUACAUGUGGAGGGAAAAAAAGACAGGGAAUAGGGGACAGGAAAGAGAAAGUGCUCUUUAAAGAAGCAGACCGGACAUGAAUUUCUGUAAUACUUGGAUAAUUCUUAAUUUAGAAUAAGUGUAAGUGGUGUUUGACAAAAUCAAAUUUUGAAAUUAAUGGUAACAUUUUUUUCGUUUUUGUAAUUUCUUUUUUAUAAACGUCAUUUUUUAUUUUUGAAUAUCAUUUUUAGCCACACAGUAGCACGAGUAUUGGGAUGAACCUGCUUAUAAUCUGCCUUUCACCAUGAAGGUUUAUAUUUAAAAAGAUUUGAUAAAGAUCCAUCGCUCGAUGAAUUUCAACAAGUUUAGAAGUUUUCCAGCAACAUUUUAUACCACGUUUGGCUUUGGCAAUCCGCAGAAGAAACUGGAACGUGUUGAUUGGGAAAAAUACAUCUGGACUGCCCUGUUUAGCCAGCUGACACUAUGACCCAACUUUGGAGAAGUGGAAGAUGAUGGAUGGAUUGAUUUGAGAUCAUUGGUUCCUCUCAAAUAUUGAGAGUCUUCACUUUAGAACAGAUGUUCCUAGAAAUAAAAGGUCUUUGAAGCCACUUUGCAACCCCAGCGCUUCCGUUCUUGCUGUUUCUGUGCUGAUAAAUGUCAUAUCUGUAG